UGUAGCUCACUGGCAGAGCAUGGUACUAACACUGCCGGGGUUAGGGGUUCGAUUUCCCUCAGGGGGCUCCA